AAUAUUUUGAGAAGGACCUGUAUUUAUAGCCAAACUCACAUUACUACACUAGCCUACUAAAGAGGUUGGUUUUGUGCAAGCAAAAACCUGUCAUGAGGUUCCUGAUUGUGGUGAUUAACAUCCUGAUCCUUGCUUUGAACAGUUUGUUUUUGAUGGCUUAGUUUCGCUGACAGCUGAUCCUUUUGAUAAGAAGCCAGUGUGCAUUCAGAGAAACCCCGGACGCUCCCAGUCCAUUAUUCUCUCUAGUGUUUUACCAUUUUCAACUCAAAGUGCCUGUGGUUUCAACUCUGUUCUACAUGGCAUUUAGUUAUAAUACGGUUAUAAUCCCAGGCCAGUCCACCAAGUUUACAUAAGAUCAAAACUUGUCAUAGGAGGCUUUCUUGUUGCUGUUUGCCCUGCCUUACCAAUAGAAGGUGUAGCUAUGUUAAUGGGGAAUGACAUUGCUGGAGGUUUAGUGCAUCAAGGUCUGCAGGUCUUAGAUGAUCCUUUAGGCCAGAAGGUGUCAAACUUGUGUCCUUUAAACCCCAGACUGUACCCAGCCUGCAUGGUUACUCGUGCACAGUCAUGGAAUGAUGCUGACAUUUCACUAUGUGAUUCUGUGCUAAUGUUCUUAUUUUCCAGGUAAGGCAAUGUACUGUCCAAAAAAAAAAAAGUGUUCCAGCACCCCAUCAUCUCUGAAUUUGCAAGACGUAGACUAGAACGAUUAGGGUAACAAAUUUUCUGACCGUCAAUAAUUUCUAUACUUUUCUCCCCAAGAUGAACUGUGGCCACAACAGGAACACCCAUGACUUCAGUUUCCUGGUACGGUUGUAACAACUUGAACAUGUUUAAGUGGCCAACAUGGGACUUUUGUCUUCGGUUAGGGGAAGCAGGAACUUCUCCUUCAGGGCUUUGAGUGGACUACGAGGCGUGUGACCAAAAACCAACUCGGCUGGAGUACAACCUGGUGAUUCUUUCACAGCUUCACGAGUAGCAAACAGCACAAAUAGGAUCCGUUUUUCCCAACUCUUUGCGGACUGGAGACAAUACUUCAGGAGCAUUGACUUUAAGGUCAGAUGCUACCGUUCUAAAGCACCUUGGGACUCAGGAUUUUACGCAGAGGAGACAACAUGUUUAAUGUUGAGAGUCUGAGCAACCUAUCUGAAUAUAUUCGUACCUUGGUCUGUCUGCAUGACUUUUGGCAGGCCAAACAUAGAAAAAAACUUUGUUAGUGCUUUACCACAGAUUUUGCAGUUAUUUUAUGCAAAGGGAUGGCCUCAGGGUGGUUUGUACCUCAAAUUUCAUAAAUUUUUUAAAUUGCUUUGGUAAAGACAAUGUGCUGAAGUUGAAAUAGAGCAAAGAAAGAAAGACAUGGCAUGGUUGUUGGUGACAGGGUGGAGUGAUCUCAGUAUUUCAGAAACUGCUGAUUAAAUGAUAUUAAAAUCUAUUCCUCAGAUUUA